rnacentral:tmRNA from 2 species
GGGGGCGUAAAGGUUUCGACGGGGAUUUUGCAGUCCAGUAAGCGAGCAGAGCGGGCGGAAGCUCUUUAAUCGCCGCACCUAAAUAUAAACGCUAAUAACAACAAUUAUCGUUUAGCUUACGCUGCCUAAAUUUGGCGGCAGCCUGCGCUGAAUAGCACCGCGGAUUCAGCCCGGGCCUAACUUAGCGGUCAACGUCCUGGGGGAGGGUCCCGGCCCCUUUGACGUAUUCGGGAAUACCGCCUGAUCCAGCCUGCCGGCUGGCGGUUUCAGGCGGGAAUUUCAAAUAACCGGCUGCGCUCGGAGAAAGCUGGAUGAAUAGGUUUUCGGACGGGAGUUCGACUCUCCCCGCCUCCACCA